UGAGGACAAAACACGUUGAAAAGU
rnacentral:miRNA from 1 species